GACCGCCGAUACAAAGAUUUAUGGCCACUUCUUGCCAUCUCUCACGCUCUCGGUAGGUUUUCGAUUUAGCAUUUAGUUACAAGUGCUACUUUUCGAGUGUUCGUCGUUAUGUAUCAGUCAGCUGCCAGCGCCCGUUACACUAAC
ensembl:ncRNA C50F4.17 ncRNA